UGGGGAGCAAACAGGCUUAGAUACCCUGGUAGUCCCACGCCGUAAACGGUGGGUACUAGGUGUGGGGGACAUUCCACGUUCUCUGUGCCGUAGCUAACGCAUUAAGUACCCCGCCUGGGGAGUACGGCCGCAAGGCUAAAACUCAAAGGAAUUGACGGGGCCCCGCACAAGCGGCGGAGCAUGCGGAUUAAUUCGAUGCAACGCGAAGAACCUUACCUGGGUUUGACAUAUACCGGAAACGUCUAGAGAUAGGCGCCCCGUAAGGUCGGUAUACAGGUGGUGCAUGGCUGUCGUCAGCUCGUGUCGUGAGAUGUUGGGUUAAGUCCCGCAACGAGCGCAACCCUCGUCCAAUGUUGCCAGCGGAUAAUGCCGGGGACUCAUUGGAGACCGCCGGGGUCAACUCGGAGGAAGGUGGGGAUGACGUCAAGUCAUCAUGCCCCUUAUGUCCAGGGCUUCACGCAUGCUACAAUGGCCGGUACAAAGAGUUGCGAGCCUGUGAGGGUGAGCGAAUCUCAAAAAGCCGGUCUCAGUUCGGAUUGGGGUCUGCAACUCGACCCCAUGAAGUCGGAGUCGCUAGUAAUCGCAGAUCAGCAACGCUGCGGUGAAUACGUUCCCGGGGCUUGUACACACCGCCCGUCAAGUCAUGAAAGUCGGUAACACCCGAAGCCGGUGGCCUAACCCGUUUGGGGGGGAGCUGUCGAAGGUGGGACUGGUAAUUAGGACUAAGUCGUAACAAGGUAGCCGUACCGGAAGGUGCGGCUGGAUCAC
rnacentral:rRNA from 1 species